CGUAGGGUGAACCUGCGGAGGGAUCAUUACCGAGUUUACAACUCCCAAACCCAAUGUGAACGUUACCAAACUGUUGCCUCGGCGGGAUCUCUGCCCCGGGUGCGUCGCAGCCCCGGACCAAGGCGCCCGCCGGAGGACCAACCAAAACUCUUUUUGUAUACCCCCUCGCGGGUUUUUUAUAAUCUGAGCCUUCUCGGCGCCUCUCGUAGGCGUUUCGAAAAUGAAUCAAAACUUUCAACAACGGAUCUCUUGGUUCUGGCAUCGAUGAAGAACGCAGCGAAAUGCGAUAAGUAAUGUGAAUUGCAGAAUUCAGUGAAUCAUCGAAUCUUUGAACGCACAUUGCGCCCGCCAGUAUUCUGGCGGGCAUGCCUGUCCGAGCGUCAUUUCAACCCUCGAACCCCUCCGGGGGGUCGGCGUUGGGGAUCGGCCCUGCCUCUUGGCGGUGGCCGUCUCCGAAAUACAGUGGCGGUCUCGCCGCAGCCUCUCCUGCGCAGUAGUUUGCACACUCGCAUCGGGAGCGCGGCGCGUCCACAGCCGUUAAACACCCAACUUCUGAAAUGUUGACCUCGGAUCAGGUAGGAAUACCCGCUGAACUUAAGCAUAUCAAUAANCGGA
rnacentral:rRNA from 1 species